AGUAGCGGACGGGUGAGUAAUGCAUGAGAACCUGUCCUUCAGAGGGGGACAACAGUUGGAAACGGCUGCUAAUACCCCAUAUGCCGAGAGGUGAAAGGAGUAAUCCGCUGAAGAGGGGCUCAUGUCCUAUCAGUUAGUUGGUGAGGUAAGGGCUUACCAAGGCGAUGACGGGUAGCCGGCCUGAGAGGGUGACCGGCCACAUUGGAACUGAGAUACGGUCCAGACUCCUACGGGAGGCAGCAGUGGGGAAUAUUGGGCAAUGGGCGCAAGCCUGACGCAGCGACGCCGCGUGGGUGAUGAAGGUCUGCGGACCGUAAAGCCCUGUCAGGAGGGAAGAAGCACUGACAGUACCUCCAGAGGAAGCCCCGGCUAACUACGUGCCAGCAGCCGCGGUAACACGUAGGGGGCUAGCGUUGUCCGGAAUUACUGGGCGUAAAGCGCGCGUAGGCGGUUAGGCAAGCAGUGGGUGAAAUGCCGGGGCUCAACUCCGGCGCCGCUUGCUGAACUGUCUGACUAGGGUCCGGGAGAGGGCAGUGGAAUUCCUGGUGUAGCGGUGGAAUGCGUAAAUAUCAGGAAGAACACCCGUGGCGAAGGCUGCUGCCUGGAACGGUACCGACGCUGAGGCGCGAAAGCUAGGGGAGCGAACGGGAUUAGAUACCCCGGUAGUCCUAGCCGUAAACGAUGGACACUAGGUGUUGGGAGCUCGACCUCCCAGUGCUGUUGCUAUCGCGUUAAGUGUCCCGCCUGGGGAGUACGGCCGCAAGGUUGAGACUCAAAGGAAUUGACAGGGGCCCGCACAAGCGGUGGAGCAUGCGGGUUAAUAGGAUGAUACGCCAAGAACCUUACCAGGGCUUGACAUGACGGGACAGCCUGUGAAAGCAGGUCUCCUGGGCAUCCCGCCACAGAUGGUGCAUGGUUGUCGUCAGCUCGUGCCGUGAGGUGUUGGGUUAAGUCCCGCAACGAGCGCAACCCUCGCCAGAUGUUGCCAUCGUGAUCCGGGCACUCUUCUGGGACUGCCUGAGUAAUCAGGAGGAAGGAGAGGACGACGUCAAAUCUGCAUGCCUCUUACGCCCUGGGCUGCACGCGUGCUACAAUGGCGAGUACAAAGGGUAGCGAAGCCGCGAGGUGGAGCCAAUCCCCCAAAACUGUCCCAGUUCGGAUCGGACUCUGCAACUCGACUCCGUGAAGGCGGAAUCGCUAGUAACCGUGGAUCAGAUGCCGCGGUGAAUACGUUCCCGGGCCUUGUACACACCGCCCGUCAAGUCACGAAAGCAGGCAGCGCCCGAAGUC
rnacentral:rRNA from 1 species